rnacentral:lncRNA from 1 species
CUAAAACAAGAUUGAGCUUGGACAUAAACUCUUAAACAUGAAUCACUACUAGAUAAAUCAUAAUAGUUGGAUCACUUGGCAUAUUUAUAGUGUGGCUUUGAGAUUUUGGGACAUGUAGUAUACUUGAUAGAAUUGCUUUGCAUCUUAGUAUACUUGGCAGUUAUGAUGAACAUAUUCCCCUUGUAUUGGCAUAUUCAAUCAUGAUAGCAUCGAUACACAUCAUGUUUACAUGUGGCAUA